rnacentral:misc_RNA from 1 species
GAUGAAGAACGCAGCGAAAUGCGAUAAGUAAUGUGAAUUGCAGAAUUCAGUGAAUCAUCGAAUCUUUGAACGCACCUUGCACCCUUUGGCAUUCCGAAGGGUAUGCUCGUUUGAGUGUCAUUGUACUCUCACACUUCCGAUCUUUGGAUUGGGAGCGGUGGACUUGGGUGUUGCUGCUUACUGUGGCUCACCUCAAAUCGAUUCGUGCACCUCUUGGUUGGACAUAGUACGGCGUGAUAAGUGUCUUCGCCGGCACCUCAGUAGAGGGUGGCAGAUCGGGAGCUCUGCUUCAAACCGUCCUCGGACAACAACUGACAACUUGACCUCAAAUCGAGUAGGACUACCCGCUGAACUUAAGCAUAUCAAUAAGCGGAGGA